UACGUAGGGCGCAAGCGUUAUCCGGAAUUAUUGGGCGUAAAGAGCUCGUAGGCGGUUUGUCGCGUCUGCCGUGAAAGUCCGGGGCUCAACUCCGGAUCUGCGGUGGGUACGGGCAGACUAGAGUGAUGUAGGGGAGACUGGAAUUCCUGGUGUAGCGGUGAAAUGCGCAGAUAUCAGGAGGAACACCGGUGGCGAAGGCGACAUCCUGGACCGAUAUUGACGCUGAGGCGCGAAAGCCAGGGGAGCAAACGGG
rnacentral:rRNA from 1 species